rnacentral:rRNA from 1 species
UGGGGAAUUUUGCGCAAUGGGCGAAAGCCUGACGCAGCAACGCCGCGUGAGUGAUGAAGGCUUUCGGGUCGUAAAGCUCUGUCGAGGGGAAAGAAAUGUAUUGUGGCUAAUAUCCACGAUACUUGACGGUACCCCUAAAGGAAGCACCGGCUAACUCCGUGCCAGCAGCCGCGGUAAUACGGGGGGUGCAAGCGUUGUUCGGAAUUAUUGGGCGUAAAGCGCGUGUAGGCGGUUUGUUAAGUCUGAUGUGAAAGCCCUGGGCUCAACCCAGGAAGUGCAUUGGAAACUGGCAGACUUGAAUACGGGAGAGGGUAGUGGAAUUCCUGGUGUAGGAGUGAAAUCCGUAGAUAUCAGGAGGAACACCGGUGGCGAAGGCGGCUACCUGGACCGAUAUUGACGCUGAGACGCGAAAGCGUGGGUAGCAAACA